CUAUCCAUUAUUCCCAAGAUGAACCCAGAGAUUUCAAAUAGGAAUAAAUAGUGUGAAAAACUUUCUAACUGCUGUGGUCUUUCUGAGCUAUUUGCAACAG